AAGUCGUAACAAGGUUUCCGUAGGUGAACCUGCGGAAGGAUCAUUAUCGUAAAACCGAGGUGCGAGGGCUGUCGCUGACCUUUUCGGUCGUGCACGCCCGAGCGCUCUCACACAAUCCAUCUCACCCCUUGUGCACCACCGCGUGGGUCCCUUUCUGGCUUGCCCGGAGGGGGGCUCGCGUUUUCACACAAACUUGAAGUAGUGUAGAAUGUCCUUUUUUUGCGAUAACACGCAAUCAAUACAACUUUCAACAACGGAUCUCUUGGCUCUCGCAUCGAUGAAGAACGCAGCGAAAUGCGAUACGUAAUGUGAAUUGCAGAAUUCAGUGAAUCAUCGAAUCUUUGAACGCACCUUGCGCCCCUUGGCAUUCCGAGGGGCACACCCGUUUGAGUGUCGUGAAAUUCUCAAAACCCUUUCUUUUGGUCAUUUUCGACCGCGGAAAGGAUUUUGGACUUGGAGGCCUUUUGCUGGUUUCGCCUUGAAGCCAGCUCCUCCCAAAUGUAUUAGUGGGGUCUGCAUUGUCGGUCCUUGGCGUGAUAAGUUGCUUCUACGUCUUGGAUUUUUGGCGCUGUACACCUGCUUCUAACCGUCUCAUUGACAACGAUGGUGAUCCGGUCGCCGCCGAUUUUUCGGUGGGAGGCUUGACCCACGAACAAACCUUGACCUCAAAUCGGGUGAGACUACCCGCUGAACUUAAGCAUAUCAAUAAGCGGAGGAAAAGAAACUAACAAGGGAUUCCCCUAGUACUGCGAGUGAAGCGGGAAAAGCUCAAAUUUAAAAUCUGGUGGCCUCUGGUCAUCCGAGUUGUAAUUUAGAGAAGCGUCUUCCGCGCUGGACCGUGCACAAGUCUCCUGGAAUGGAGCGUCAUAGAGGGUGAGAAUCCCGUCUUUGGCACGGAUCCCGGGGCUUAUGUGAUGCGCUCUCGAAGAGUCGAGUUGUUUGGGAAUGCAGCUCAAAAUGGGUGGUGAACUCCAUCUAAAGCUAAAUAUUGGCGAGAGACCGAUAGCGAACAAGUACCGUGAGGGAAAGAUGAAAAGCACUUUGGAAAGAGAGUGAAACAGUACGUGAAAUUGUUGGAAGGGAAACGCUUGAAGUCAGUCGCGUCGUCCGAGACUCAGCCUCGCCUCGGCUUGGUGUACUUCUCGAUCGACGGGUCAGCAUCAAUUUUGCCCCUUGGAUAAUGGCGAGGGAAAUGUGGCACCUUUGCGGGUGCGUUAUAGUCCCUCGUCGCAUGCAAGGGUCGGGAUUGAGGAACUCAGCACGCGCCUUUUGGUGUCGGGGCUUUGCCCACGAUACGUGCUUAGGAUGUUGGCGUAAUGGCUUUAAACGACC
rnacentral:rRNA from 1 species